AAGGGGAGGCAAUGUUCUCUUUCUGGAGAUCUCUGUAUACCUGAGGGCUUCUCAAGAUUACUGAGACAAUGCUUUUGAGCAACUUCUGACUACCACUGAUGUAAAGAUAUCCCAUUGUCUCUGAGAUUCUGAUCAACUGAAGCCAAUCACUGUGGUUGUGAACACUUUGGGAAAUGCAAAAUGUGUGUUUUUUCAUUCUGAUGACUUACUUUGAGAAUCUAAAGUUCAAGAGUACACUUGGUCAGUAUUGAUUCCUUGGAUGAAGACCAAAAGUAAAGAAGAAAACUCAGGUUGCACUGGCAACAAAGUAACCUGUUAGUGUUACAGAGGAUAACACCGAGUUGCUGAAGAUCAUAAAAUGCCCAUAAAAAAGAAGAAAGAGUAUGUAAAUAAAGCAAGUAAGAUAACAACAAGAGCACUAAUUUUUCAUGCCCCUUUGGGACUGCUUUGGACUGCUGAAAGCAAGAGAUAAGAUCACUGGAUUCACCUGGAGAUUACAUUUACUUCAGAUAUGUGCAGAAGGGACUCAUGAGAAAAGGAAGUAUUUACAUUCUGGCAUGUUAAUGAGUUUCCAUCUUUUUUUUCACCUCUCUUUCCCCUUGUUCACUCUUGUAAUGUUUGUUUGUUUGUUUUCCAUCUGUUAAAAGAUGGGGAAUAUAUAUCCGCUUCACUGGCAUUGCAAGCACAUAUACAC
ensembl:lncRNA